rnacentral:rRNA from 1 species
GAUGAACGCUGGCGGCGUGCCUAACACAUGCAAGUCGAACGGAGAUUACGGACGGAAGUUUUCGGAUGGAAGACUGUAAUUCUUAGUGGCGGACGGGUGAGUAACGCGUGGGCAACCUGCCCUAUACAGGGGGAUAGCAGCUGGAAACGGCUGGUAAGACCGCAUAAGUCGGCGAGACCGCAUGGUUUUGCCGGGAAAUGAGCAAUCAGGUAUAGGAUGGGCCCGCGUCCGAUUAGCCAGUUGGCAGGGUAAAAGCCUACCAAAGCAACGAUCGGUAGCCGGACUGAGAGGACGGACGGCCACAUUGGGACUGAGACACGGCCCAAACUCCUACGGGAGGCAGCAGUGGGGGAUAUUGCACAAUGGAGGAAACUCUGAUGCAGCGACGCCGCGUGAGUGAAGAAGUAUUUCGGUAUGUAAAGCUCUAUCAGCAGGGAAGAUGAUGACGGUACCUGACUAAGAAGCCCCGGCUAACUACGUG